GUUACUGUGUCUUGGUGUGUGUGUGUGUGUGUGGGUGCAGGUGCGUGAGCGUGUGUGGGUGCGUGAGCAUGUAGGGUGCACAUGUGUUACUAUGUCUUGGUGUGUGUGUGUGUGUGUGAGCAUGUAGGGUGCACAUGUGUUAGUGUGUCUCGGUGUGUGUAUGUGUGUGGGUGUGUGAGCAUGUAGGGUGCACAUGUGUUAGUGUGUCUCGGUGUGUGUGUGUGUGUGGGUGUGGGUGUGUGAGCAUGUAGGGUGCACAUGUGUUACUAUGUCUUGGGGUGUGUGUGUGUGUGUGAGCAUGUAGGGUGCACAUGUGUUAGUGUGUCUUGGGGUGUGUGUGUGUGUGUGUGAGCAUGUAGGGUGCACAUGUGUUAGUGUGUCUCGGUGUGUGUGUGUGUGUCUGAGCAUGUAGGGUGCACAUGUGUUAGUGUGUCUCGGUGUGUGUGUGUGUGUGUGUGUGUGAGCAUGUAGGGUGCACAUGUGUUAGUGUGUCUUGGGGUGUGUGUGUGUGUGUGAGCAUGUAGGCAUGUAGGGUGCACAUGUGUUAGUGUGUCUUGGGGUGUGUGUGUGUGUGUGAGCAUGUAGGGUGCACAUGUGUUAGUGUGUCUCGGUGUGUGUGUGUGUGUCUGAGCAUGUAGGGUGCACAUGUGUUAGUGUGUCUUGGGGUGUGUGUGUGUGUGGGUGUGCGUGAGCAUGUAGGGUGCACAUGUGUUAGUGUGUCUCGGUGUGUGUGUGUGUGUGGGUGUGGGUGGUGCACAUGUGUUAGUGUGUCUCGGUGUGUGUGUGUGUGUGUGCGCGUGAGCAUGUAGGGUG
ensembl:lncRNA